rnacentral:rRNA from 1 species
GACAGAGGUGCCGAGCGUUAGGCGGAAUCACUGGGCUUAAAGCGUGUGUAGGCGGGCCGUUAAGUGUCUUGUGAAAUCCCCCGGCUCAACCGGGGAAUUGCUGGGCAUACUGGCGGUCUUGAGCAGUUCAGGGGCAGAUGGAACAAGUGGUGGAGCGGUGAAAUGCGUAGAUAUCAGGAGGAACACCAAUAGCGAAGGCAGCUCGCUGGGACGGUACUGACACUGAGGCGCGAAAGCGUGGGGAGCGAACAGG